CCUUUUAUGCGGAAAGAUUCGUUUUUAUUUUCAGAAUAGACUUCAACUUCGCCAAUCACUUCUUCAUUAGAACCAAAUUUCUUUUUCUGUUUCCUGAAUUUGCGUGUUCUAUCAAUACACGACACUCGUAUGGAUCCAAUUUUCAAACAACAAGAAAUGUAGCUUCACUCAAUCAAUAUCUCGAUCCAGACUUAACUUUAUAUCAUCUGAAAUUUUGACAUGCAUUUUUUUAAAGCUUGGUACUAACAAGGAGAAUAACUAUAAUUGUGGUAUGGCACUGGCGAUGCGCCAGGUCCGAGACUUGUUGAGUGAUCUGUAAUAUUCACCACCAAACCAUAUUAUUGCAACCGAAAACUGCAGCGGAUAUUUUGAAACCAAUGUAAUUUUACGAAAUACAUUUGUUGUUAUUAUGAAAUAGGAGGAAAAGUUUUACUUCGAUUUUUCCUAUAUAAAGUGUUCAUUUUUCACUAUGCAUGCAAUAAGUUCGAAAAGAAUAUUCAAGAUGGCUAACAUGAAACAAAUGUUGUGCCUAGCCGUCAUUUUGGUAUGUUUUGGGUUGUGUAUGGCAAAUCAUAGAAAUAGCGAACAGAAAUUGAUAUCUAUCAAGAAUAUAGUCAUGGAGAUGCGUCGAAUUUUCUGUUUAUAUGGUUAUCCGAUUCUAAUACCAAUUUUGCGUACAUUCAGAGUGGAAAUAUUUGCAGAUAUCAUCUGUGGAAUGAAAACUUCAAAUAAUACCUGUCCUUAUAUGAGAAGAAAAGUCCUUUUGCGUUUGUAAUUUUAUAAUUAACUAUUCAUCCAAGGUAAUAUUUAUAUAAUUUUGCUGUUUUUUUUUACGAAAAUUUCUGUUGAAUUAAUAAAAUCCUUUAUUCUACAUGCACUGAAAAUCAUAGUGAUUUAUUGA